rnacentral:rRNA from 1 species
UACGUAGGGUGCAAGCGUUGUCCGGAAUUAUUGGGCGUAAAGAGCUCGUAGGCGGUCUGUUGCGUCGGCUGUGAAAACCCGGGGCUCAACUCCGGGCCUGCAGCCGGUACGGGCAGACUAGAGUUCGGCAGGGGAGACUGGAAUUCCUGGUGUAGCGGUGAAAUGCGCAGAUAUCAGGAGGAACACCGGUGGCGAAGGCGGGUCUCUGGGCCGAUACUGACGCUGAGGAGCGAAAGCGUGGGGAGCGAACAGG